AGUUUUUGGGAUUAUGGCUUGUAUGGAGGCUAGUGGUCUUAAUUCUUUGAUCGUGCUCAGUGAUUACAGAACACUGCACUGUCCAGGAGGAUAUGAGAAGAUGGAGAAAUGAUCAAGUUGUGAUAUAAAACUGCAGUCUUUGCACUUUAUCAAUCUUGUUGUCAGCUACUACUUAGCAGCAAAUUGACGCAUAGCCAAGUGCCAUUCACAAGAAGCAAAAAAUAAGAAAAGAGAUUUGUUUGGUAAUUUGCAGUGAUUAAUGUCAAUGUUAAUGCAAAUUUGGUUGUAGUGCAAGUAUGUUUAUUGCCACAGACUGAUUUAGUUUUAACCAUUCAUGUGAUUCUUUUUA